GGUUAUUUACCAGUUCAAGGGCUGCCUCUGCUAAUCUACACACAGUGGACUCAAAAAUGCCUACAUCAGUGUUCUGUAACUUUCUGUGCCUCACAGGUGAAGGUGGAUGAGGAGUGUGACUGCUAAGACAACCCUCAAAGAACUACACUUACUGGUAAAAUAACCACUUCCUCUUUGACGAGUCUCUGAAUACAUGUACAUUCAUGGAGACUGCUGAAACCUUGUCCGUCGGCGCAUCCUCCACACCAGGACAGAGACUUUCCCAGAUUACAAGGCAGAAAAAGACGACUCGGGAGGACAUGUUCAAUGAGUUAAUGUGCGCCUCAGAGUGACAAGACAGAGCUCAGAGCAUGGACGAUUACACUGUCUGAGAACCUGGACGUGGACAGAGAGGACAGGAGAGCAUGCAGGGAACAAGAGCGUGUCACGCAGAAAGAGAUGCUGCAGAUUAAGACGGAGCAAUCAGACAUGUUAAGGCUCAAGAAAGGCAGAUGGAUGCUAGAGUGCCUAUGCUGCCAUCAGCACCCAGGUCUACAUCCUCCUCCCCCAACCGUCCUAUGAGGCGGGAGAGGUGGGGAGUUUGGUAUCCGUGGCACUCAACACCAGGGGAGGGUACAAGGACCAGGAGGCGCCCAUUCCCACACCUUUGAUGGUUAUUGCAGUGCAUCUGUAAGCAAGCUUUCCUUGUCCCCCUCCCCAUGCCCCCCCAGUGCUAUCAGCCCUUUUGUCCCAGGUUAUCUUACUUUUCUUAGCUGUCUCUAGGUGUUUGUGUGCAUAAUAAAACUUAACGGAUU